rnacentral:rRNA from 1 species
CUGCCGGUGAUAAACCGGAGGAAGGUGGGGAUGACGUCAAGUCAUCAUGGCCCUUACGAGUAGGGCUACACACGUGCUACAAUGGCGUAUACAAAGGGAAGCGACCCCGCGAGGGCAAGCGGAACUCAUAAAGUACGUCGUAGUCCGGAUUGGAGUCUGCAACUCGACUCCAUGAAGUCGGAAUCGCUAGUAAUCGUAGAUCAGAAUGCUACGGUGAAUACGUUCCCGGGCCUUGUACACACCGCCCGUCACACCAUGGGAGUGGGUUGCAA